rnacentral:ncRNA from 1 species
GAAAAUGCUAAGAAAAAGAGGAGUAAAAAUAUUAAAAGCUUUAAGAGAGGAAAAUUCAUAGGCUGUAAGAUUUUCUAUGUUUUGUAUUUUGAAGGUAGCUUUGGAGCAGCUUUGCUGAAAUAUUAGUAGGUAAAGACGGCAAAAUGUCGUUAAUGUUUUUAAGAGUAUAUAAAUUUAGUUAUCUUAGCUAUUUUAUAUAAAAAAAGGUGGUACCGCGAGUCUUCGUCCUUUAU